GCGACGUCGGGGGGCAACGGCAGCAGCGUUGCGUUCACCAAAACCGGUCUAUGUGGCAAGCACGCCUUGACACCGGUGCUCCCUAUUGCAAGGUAUUUGGUUAGCGCCUUGGAGUGUGCGUGCGUGUAGAGACGCAAACCUAAGCCGCGUGGCGGUCGAGCUCGCGAGCGCUCCUCUCCGAGGCUAGUGCUUGGAUGCGUAAGCGUCUGAAUAGCGCCAGCCAAACUCGACAUCAUCGCAGCAGCAGAACGACGAGUGGUAGUAGUGGAAGCGGCGCAUGACACCUGACCCCGAAGCGUCCGCAAGUAGCGCUGGCUUUUCACUGACAGCUCAGCACUGUCUUUCGGCGGUGACGAGUCCUCGAGGAUGGCGUUGCGUUUUCGAGAUUGUGCAAGUGCAGGUAACCUAAGGCGUUGGCUGCUUUCCUAUGGCUCCGGAACCCGCUCCAACACACACACACACACACACCAAUCCAUACGCAUACCGCGGAGUAUGGCCACUCCACGAACACCGUGCUGUUCUGGGGUAUAGGUCACGCGAGCAGGCCAGUCGCUUGAUCUAGCGUGAUGAUCUCGCGUCGUGUCAUGCUCCAGUCACUCGGUCAACUGAGGGGUUACGUGUCUUGUUUACCGUUUCCUCUGCUAAACCGAAAGGCCGCCCCGGCAACACGAAGCGCGUUCUCAACGAAACCCGAAAAGCGAAGCGACGGUGGCAUGCCGACGCCUGCUGCUGGCCGUGCUUCUUCAGAACAGCCAGCAGCCUCCGACUCGUCCAUCGGACUAUCGCUUGUUGGCACCGCAGCCUCGGCACGCGGAAACGUCGGCGAGGAUGCGUCCAGGCAAGUCUGCACUGCUGGUGACUCGUUUCGUUCUCGUACGCUGGAGGGCAUAGGUUGACGCGCUCGGCGACCGCGGCGACGUGGCCUUCUGACGACAACAUCCUCGGUAGUUGCGGAGUUGCCAUGACUAUCAGUAUUCGAUGCUUCCGCGAGCCGCGCUGCAGACACCAGCUCUGCAGCAGCCGAGGCGUCGUGACCUAGUAUGCGCUCGGUAGCAAGAAACGCUGCAAUGGAUCGCCUCAGAAGCUUGAAGAAAACCUCGGUAUGGCCCAGUUUCAUGGACUCUCGCCGCCAAACCAAGUCCGCAAGCGUGCGUAGGUGUUCCAGACUUUGCCGGCAUUGGCGAAGGUUUGCGUAGCAUUCUGCAGCUUCGGAAAGCGGCACAGCGUCAACGCGAGUCGGCAGAAAGCCCAGCUCGAUACUUUGCGGCACGCGCACUGUCAUCCGCGUUCUGUCUGGGGCAUCAUGUACGCUCAGGUGGCGGUGCUGUAACUCGGUCCGCGACGAUCGACCUCGUCGUUGUCGGGGCGGUAUCCCUUCCGGGGCAAUGCCUCCUGAUGUCUUCGUUGACAACAAAAGCGCGUUUCCUGUUUCGGCAAUGACCCGUAGUUGCGUGUGCUUGGGGCACAGGCUUUGGUGCGUAUGCACAUCCAUGAAUAACUGGGCGCGCUGUGCGCACGUAAUAUGGUAUCCAACAUCACAAGACGGGGCAUUACAGCGCAUACAGAGACCUACGCCCCGCUGCUUGCAGACAAUGCAGCGUACUGCCGCAUUCGCUCGAAUGCGUUGUGUUAGACACGGAUCCUCGCUGGCUGCUAACUCUUCGAGCAAUCGCUGUACGCUGGUUGCGACAGUUUCAUCUGCCUUUGGCUUCGCUAGGAGCCAGUACAGGCAUGCAACGUGGGCAAAGCGCGGAUCCUGGUGCUCCCAUCUCGAUGCUUGCGAACGGCGCUGCACUGCGUCGGGGUCGUGCUUCUCUGUCUCUGGAGUAGAGACCGGCAAGCACGGCUUCGACGCACCAGUCACGUGUUCGGGCUCGUUUUCAUGCUCGGUAGUCGAUGAUGCUGUGAGCGGUUUCAGCGCACCGCCACGAUGAGGGCACAGCACACACGGAAAGCCAUAUUUGGCCACGCGCUCGAGAAAGCGUGCUCGCUUCCUCGCUUCCAUCAAGCUGUACGUGAUCAAUUUGGAUUCGCUGGUAACAGGACGGCUUUAGUUGUACCAGACACGUUCUUGGAUCCUACCCCUCCUCCUCUUCAAAACGUAAAGUUUUUUU